UACGUAGGGUGCGAGCGUUGUCCGGAAUUAUUGGGCGUAAAGGGCUCGUAGGCGGUUUGUCGCGUCGGGAGUGAAAACCAGGUGCUUAACACCUGGCUUGCUUUCGAUACGGGCAGACUAGAGGUAUGCAGGGGAGAACGGAAUUCCUGGUGUAGCGGUGAAAUGCGCAGAUAUCAGGAGGAACACCGGUGGCGAAGGCGGUUCUCUGGGCAUGACCUGACGCUGAGGAGCGAAAGUGUGGGGAGCGAACAGG
rnacentral:rRNA from 2 species